ensembl:lncRNA
UGGAAGGGCAGUGAAUAUCCCCUCGUGGGGACAGCGGCCCUUUUGAGGGCAACAUGGAACAGAUGGGGGGGAGUGUUUUGUGACCCAGGCCUAACUGGGCCCUGGCCGAGGGGUUCUGAGCAGCUAGUAGGAGGUACCCUCUUGCCUUGGGCAGCUUGGGCAUGCAGGAGGAAUCUUCAGCUUCAGAACUAAAAAAUGAGGCUUUCUGACUUUGCACCUGGCCAGUUGGCUUGAUGAAGAAGGAAAUGGCAACCCACUCCAGUAUUCUUGCCUGGGAAAUCCCAAGGACAGAGCAGCCUGGCCGGCUACAAUCCUUGGGAUUGCAAAAGGGUAGGACAUGACUUAGUGACUAAUCAACAAACAAGUUGGCUUAAAAGGCAAACUUCACUGAGAG